GAUAGAGGAGGGAGCGUGAAGCAAAUGGGGAGGGUGGAUAGAGGUGGGCGGGGUUAGGGGACGGCGCAGGGUGAAGAGUAGAAAUAAGGGAAGACACAGGGAGCCAGGGACUCAGUGUGAAUAGGUGAAUGUUAACAUUGGGGGGUCGCUAAACCUUUGGGGGCAGAUCUCUUGCACGCGGCAAAUCGGUUUUACUGGAAGAUGUCCUGACACUGACUGUAUUGCCUUAUACAGGUGACGGGACACCUGGUUGGAGAGUUCACAGGACUUGCCUUUAUAGUGCUCACCCAUGGGUCAAAUAGGUCUAUAGUUCUGCAUACCUCAGACACUACAGGAGCAAAUUAAUUGCUAAGGCAGCUGGGAGUUGUAGUGAAGUGAAAGACAGUGAACACCAGCCUAUGGGGACAGCGCUGCCUUAUGCAAAGCCACACCCCCUGUUUUCUAUUGGUCGGCGCAGCCUGGAUUCCCUCUUUUCUGAAGCCACGCCCCCAGGAAUGACAGUUAGUUCAGUUGGAAGGAGGAAUCGGGAGGAUGGAUUGCUGGUUGUGAGGUCUGGCUAGUAUCCAGCACAAGGCAGUGUGUACCCCAGUAAUGGCAGAAAAGUGAGGUACCUAAAUGUCAGCGGCUGCCGCACAAGGCAUGGCUAGGAAAGGCUGGUUCAUUCCAGAAUAAAAGAAUAAAGCCCCAGACAAAAGGACAGGGCAGAUAAAUGAAAACUUUGUACAGAAAGAAGAAAGAAGACAAUGACAAUAAUCAAAAGAAAACAGUGAGGAUAUCCCCUUGACAGUAACUCCUAGUCAACAAAAUGUCUAUUACAAUUGUUAUGCACAUAGUUCCUCUUCUAUGAAAUUAAAGACAUUCACUGAUGA